AGUUUUUCUCCAUGAUAUGCUGUUAAAAGAGCCGAGAUAUCCGGAAAAAAAUUAGACUUACCAUGAAGAAAAAGAAGCAGCUGACCAAUAAGCUACCUAGAAAGCAUCCAGCCUGGAUCUCAGCUGCAAAAUUGAGAAUUCUUCAAAGUGGUUUACAUGCAGUUCUUAACACAGCUGCUUGCUGGGGGUGUGUGCUCUGUGUGGGGGAUCUAUCAGCAGCCUGGCUACCUCUGUGUGAUCUUGG